GAUGAAGAACGUAGCGAAAUGCGAUAAGUAAUGUGAAUUGCAGAAUUCAGUGAAUCAUCGAAUCUUUGAACGCACAUUGCGCCCGGUGGUAUUCCGGCGGGCAUGCCUGUUCGAGCGUCAUUUCAACCCUCAAGCUCUCCGGAGUUUGGUGUUGGGGCGCCUGGGGCUUUUCGACCUCAGGGCCCUCAAGUCCAUCGGCGGGACCGCCAGGACACUGAGCGCAGUAGUAUUAUUUCGCUCGGUAGGAUCUUCCACGGCGGGUCGAUCUGGCCGCUAAACCCCCCAAUUCUCACCAAAGGUUGACCUCGGAUCAGGUAGGAAUACCCGCUGAACUUAAGCAUAUCAAUAAGCGGAGGA
rnacentral:misc_RNA from 1 species